GAACCAAGUCUCUGCUGUCUCAGACAGGCAGAGUAUCUGCCACUAGGUGGGACCUGUCACGCUGAAUUAUCUCUGUGGACAAGACCAUGUUAGGAAGAACAAAGAAAGAGGAGGGCUCAGAAGCCUGGUAUUCCGGGCUAGAUCCCGCCACAGAGCUCAUCAGUCAGCCGUACUGCACCUCGGCAGCUGCCUGGCUUCUGAGGGAAGAGUGGGUUGCAUGGGCAACACUCGGACCAUCUUCCCUUCAACCAGAACAAUUCUCUGAUUCAUUUGCUUUGCUUUCCUACGAUUUCCCAUCACAAGAUCCGAUGGCUGUCCGUGUUUCUGCCAGGUCUGAUUCUUGGAUUCUACCCAAUUGCUUCCAAAUUGUGCUCCCCUGGCUCCACUGACUCCAUCUUUGAAGACUGAACCUGUCUUCUUCAGGAAGGCCUCCUUACUCCCUCCCACAGACUGUUUGGAACUGGAGAAGAACUCAGCAAAGAGCAAAACAUGGAGCCAAACUACUACACUCAUCUCUCCGAUUCCGAGCCACGCUGAAUUCCCAAACUACUACACUCAUCUCUCCGAUUCCGAGCCAAGCUCAAUUCCCAAA